GGAUGUGAGGGCGAUCUGGUUGCGACAUCUGUCACCCCAUUGAUCGCCAGGGUUGAUUCACUGAUCUGGCUGGCUAGGCAGGUGUCCCCCUCCUCCCUCACCGCUCCACAUGCGUCCCUCCCGCAGCUGCGCUCUCAGUCGGAGAGGACGACCAUCCCUGCUAGAGGAGGACCGGUCUUCGGUCAAGGGUAUACGAGCAGCUGUGCUCCCCUGCUAGAACCUCCAAACAAGCUCUCAAGGAACAUACCCAAUAGAAAUGAAAUCUGCAUAUGGGAAGGGGACCUGUAAUCCUAUAUUGCAGCAGCACAAUCUACAAUAGCAAAGACAUGGAAACAAUCCAGAUGU
ensembl:misc_RNA 7SK 7SK RNA